AUUAAUAAUAGCCAGAGAUCGACUCGUAUCAGUUACGAAUGAAUUAAGGCGCGAUGACUCAAUAAUUUUGGUGAAGUGUUGAAAGAGUGGAAAAUUAAGAAAAUGACAUGGCGAUCGAGCUGAAAUUUUCAAAACCAGACGCCGGUUCCCAUUGGGGAUUUCGGUUGGUGGGGGGAGCCGAUUUUAACGAACCCUUAGUGGUUGUUAAGGUAGAUAAAAAUAGCUUUGCUGAAAAUGCAGGCUUGAUGGUGGGCGAUGUCGUAGUUCGAGUAAACGACACCCCCACAGCGGGAUUAACCCAUGCCGUUGCCCAUGAUUUAAUUUUUGAUGCAGGAAAUGAGUUUAUAGUGGCUAUACGAAGAGGAUUGUUUUCUGAUAUCCCAGUGCCAACGGAGGACGACAUUAAUAGCGAAAUAGAAAAUAUACUUAAAGAAUCUUUAGCUGAACAACUUGAAGGCAUAAAGAAAGAAACCCGGGUCACACCAUCACCUGUUCUAGAAAAUCUAUCAGGGCAAGAGCAGUUGGUACAACCUCAAAAAGGUGAUAAGGUAACUGGAGGCAAGAAAAAAAAGUGGUCGACGUUUUUAGUCAAACCCAAGAAUCCUGUACCAAAGGCACAGGCUGUCCCAGUACAAAAGAUUGCAGAACCAUAUAAAGUCAAGAUAGUAAAACAACCUAGACGAGACCCCAAAGAUGUACUAAAUCACAAGAAAACCGUAAAGUUCGAGCCCAACGUGGUAGAAGUCGAAAUAUCUCGAGAAUCUUCAAUAGCUUCUAUGACUGAAUCUUCCGAAUCGAUUGAUUUACCACUACCGAGCGAAAUAGAAAUGGAGACCUCAGUAAAAAUAAUUGAAGAAACUACUGUAGAAAUUUGCGAGGAGGGCAAUGAUGAUUUUGAUACUCUUAGAUCGGAUUCUUCGAAUGAGAUUUCUUCACCAGAACAUAAGUCUACGCCAAUUUUGAAGCCUAAGCCAAUUGAUAUUCAUAUUGAGCCUGUUGUAUGCGAGUCCUCGCAAUCCUUAGCAGAGCAGCUAGCUGCAGUACAAAAGCAACUAUUGCUCUUAUCUCAGCUACCUUCAGCUAUUCAGGUUACUUUAGAAGCGGUAACGGAACAACUCAAUAAAAUUGCUUUGGAUAAGCUAAGUACGAUAGACGAGAAUGAGAAUUGCGAAGAGAAUGUGGAUAAUGUAUGUGAUAAAUCCUCAGGAGAAGAAGAUGCAGCCGAGGAAAACUUAACCGAGUCAGAAAACGCAGAACAUGAUAUAACUGAAAACGGAAUUGAAGAUGAAGAUCAGCCAAAUUUGGAAGAGUUCGAGGUAGAUGAAGCAAUAAAUGAGGAAUCUGCAAUGCCCGAUGUUAAUAGGGCAGAAGAAAUGAAAACCGAUGUUGAAGAAACAAGGGAAGCAGAAGUGAUUGAUCCCUAUGCUGGCCUUACCGAGGAAGAGAAAGAAGCUAAAAUUAGGGAGGAGCAAUUGUUGGCAAAAAAACAAAAGGUCAACCAUUGGAACAGGAUAUGGCCUUGGGGAAAUAAGGAGAAACCAAUCUACAGGUAUAAUGUUGGAAUAAAUGUUGGCUGCACAUAAACAGAAGCUAGCGAAAAGUUGUCUGGCAUGAUUUUUAUUGUGUGCAGUUCCAGAGAGUCAAACUGUUGUAUGGUGCCCAGCAAGGUCCAACAUAAGAUACAUCAAUUUCUUGAAGUACCAGCCUCCGGCAAAGAAUCUCGACUAUCUUCAGAAGUCGGAAGUGUAUCGUCUAAUUCACGACAUGGAACCCCCGUUGAAAGGAGUGGCAGCCCGAUAUGAAAAGAUUUUAUCUGAAAACGAAUACUACGGG
rnacentral:misc_RNA from 1 species